UACGUAGGGCGCAAGCGUUGUCCGGAAUUAUUGGGCGUAAAGAGCUCGUAGGCGGUUUGUCGCGUCUGCUGUGAAAACCUAAGGCUCAACCUUGGGCUUGCAGUGGGUACGGGCAGACUAGAGUGCGGUAGGGGAGAUUGGAAUUCCUGGUGUAGCGGUGGAAUGCGCAGAUAUCAGGAGGAACACCGAUGGCGAAGGCAGAUCUCUGGGCCUUACCUGACGCUCAGGUGCGAAAGCUAGGGGAGCGAACAGG
rnacentral:rRNA from 1 species